GUCUAACGGGCGAGAACACGUCACGCUGCGUGAUGAGCCUAGGGCUCCGCCUUUGGAUUCAACCUGCAGAGCUGAUGAAGCAUUCGUCUUCUCGUGUGACCAGUUUUUAAAUGGUGAACAACUCCAAUCUUCAAGACACCACUGCGUCAUAGCCGCUAUUGUUCUACUACGCAGUUCAGAAUUUCAAGAUCUUGCUUGGUGAAAAUGGCGAUGUGACGGUGUCCAGUUUCUAAAGAUGUCUGAUGCUGCAGGAUCUUCAACCAGCGCUCUGCAAUACUCUCUAGCAGCUGAAAUGAAGGAGGGGCGAGACCUGACUACGUCACCUGCCUGUGCUAGCUUCAACCAGCCUCGCGACUGACACCCACUGCCCCCACACGGGGUGUAAGUGGCUCCCAUCACGCCAAAGUCAACCUCACCUGCUCGCGGUACACCCUGCUAACCCACUAACGAG